ACUCCAACAUAUCCAGGUUAGGUUGAACCAGCUUCGUAGUACAGGCCUCAGGGCAAAAAAAAAAAUACAAAACGGAUCAACACUGUUGUGAUAAAGUUGACUGCACCGUGAUCUUUAGUGGCAUCCUGGAGUUUGACAAUCACUAUUAUUGACAACUGAUGAUUUUAAGAAGUUGCAGAGAAGUUAAAAAGCUAGAGAGAGUUAUGUGAGAUGUUUUUUUUUCUUUUUAAGAUUACACAUGUUUUGUUUUCCUUCAUCAAUCUUCUAUAAGACCUCAUGUACAAUGACUGGUAUGCACGAUAAUGAUGUUAACAAAAAAGAGGAACUAUUCUUUAAAUCUUUAUUGCUUUUUUGUUAUUGUUCUUUUUCAAGAUAUUAUAUUCCUCUAUGUGUAAUGACUAGCGUAACAAAAUAUGAUUCUGAAAAUGAAGUACGUCAUAGUCUACCUGAAGAAAGAGAUCAUGUUAUUUGUUUUUGUCAUUUUAGUUUUUUGACUGCUACAUUUAUUUUCAGUAAACUGUUAAAGUUGUGCAUUAUAACUGCUGUGCACAACAAAGUUGAUGUCAAUGAUAAAGAUGGUUUACUACAAAGACCGUGUUGGAAACAAAGAGAUGUUUUGUGAUGUAAAUGUCCGCAUGAGUCAUGUAUUGCUUCACAUUUGAGCUUUUAAGUAACGUGUUUUGCAGAUAAAAACCAGGAGGAAAAAUGUAUGUGAUUUUAUACCAGUCUGAGAAUAAUACAAAAAGAUACAAAUGACUUGCUUUGUUUUUUUAAAACUUUCAAAUACUUACUUUUUUUUUGUUUUAUUAUUUGUAUUCAUUUCUUGUGUUCAUGCAAUGAUGUCUAAAGACCAUGUGAUGAGAUCAUGUUUGUGUUUGUUUUUACUACUUAUUAUUACUUACUCAACUUUUUUUCAUUUUUUUAUUUUAUUAUUCAACAUUUAUUGUACAUAUACACUUUGAUGUGUACUUGGAGAGUACAUAAGCCAGCCUCAGUUGAAGUACUGUGUAUGUUCAUGUUGAUGACGUUUUGCUUCAAGUGCAAAUACUGUGGCAUCCUUCACAUCUUGUUGAUGAUGAACUUUUGAUUUUCAUUCUGUUAGACGGAUAAUGAUGUGAUGAACAAGUGAGAAAGAAGGACUGUUUGAAUGCUCUGAUUUUAUAUUGUUUUGAGUUCAUUGUUCUUGAUGAUUGCAGCUCUUUAUAUAAGGACUAGUGCAAAACAGAUGUCUCAUAUGUCUUCAAUAGUUUUACUGUUAUAGUUUCAUACAAGACAUUUUUAUUUUAUCAUUUAUAUUUUUAAAUUUUAAAUGUUUUUUAUAAUAUUUUUGAAAAACUCACUCACGCCGUGUGCACAAAAUGAUGAUGUAGGCAAAGACUAGUGAUGAGAUCAUGUUUUACUUACUUUUAUUUUUACUACUUAUUAUUACUUACUCAACUAUUUACAUGUUUUGUUUUAUUAUUCAACUUUGCUUAAUGCAUAAAGGCCAUGAGAAACAGAUGUUAUCAAAUGUCAUCACUAUUGUUUAAUAUUUGUACUGUUAUAGUUUCAUGCAAGACACUGUUAUCUUUUCAUUUAUAUGUUUUACUUUUAAAUAUUCCAUUUGUUUUAUUCUUUUUGAAUAAUUUGCUUAAAGAACAUCAUGCUGUGUGCACAAUAUGAUGUCGUGGGUCUGUGUCGUACAAAGACCGUGUGAUUAAAUCAUGUUUUACUUACUAUUAUUAUUUUUACACUACAGUUUUUUUUUCAGCAUUUAUUGCAGUGCAUCCUAAGUGCUUAAAGUACAAAGACCGUGAGAAACGGAUGUUUUCUAACAUGUACUCAUUAUUCUUUGAUAUGCUCUACUGUUUUGUUUAUUUGAAGUUAAGGCAGUGAAUAAGAAAUGUUUAUGUAACUGACUUUUUGCUGUAGAUUAAAAAUUAUUUAAACAAGACAACAGCAGAGAAUACUGUUGAUCAUGGUAUUGAUAUUUUCAGAUAUAUUAAAAGUUGAUCCAGCCACAAGAAAGUUGAAAAAUAUAUCAUAUAUAGUUUAACAUUUAUAUCCUUUUUUUUGUUGUUACUUUUAUUCAGGUUGACAAACAUAAAGUUGUGUGCAUAAUGGAAACCAACAAAAUGAUGAUAUGUUGUCAGAUCCUAUGGAGAAAAAAUAAUGUUGAAGCAAAUAUAACAAUAAAAUGAUUAUGAUCAAAGUCAGUUGUCAGUUUCCUUUUCUCAAGUGAAAAUAAUCUAUCUGUUUAUUUCUGUGUUUUUUCAUCCAGAUUUUCAGAUUUAACUGAGUAUUCUGCCACCACCAGAACAACAUGCAGGAAACUAAAUGUCCUGUCCAUAUCCUUCCACCACUCAUACACGCUCAAAAUUCAUAACAAAAUUGGACAUUUUGAAAAGCUCGAGAGCGGCUCUAUUUCCUCCGUAGGCUGUGGAUGUUUAUCAUGGACUCCAAGAUACUCUGCAACUUCUACAGUAAAAGGACCCCAAAGCCUCGACCAUAUUCUAACAUCCAUAUCCUCUCAUCUCUUAUCGAUCCCACCCAAUCCACGCAUAUCCAACACCUUGUGACAGGAGGCCUCUGAAACUGCCAGUCAGCUACUCACUAGACUGAGUUCAUCUCUGGCUUUACCCCCCAGCAAUCCCUUGAUUUCCUUGCUCUCUCUGAGACUUGGAUUACUCCAGCUAAUACUUCUGCUCCUGCUGCUCAUAGCCGACUCCUUCACCAAACACCCAGACCCACUGGCAGAGGAAGGGGCACUGGUCUGAUAUCCCUCAAAUUUACUUUUUCUUUCUGCCCAUUGCUACAUUUUACGCCUUCAUCCAUCAGAAUGAAUGCUUAUUGAAUACAUGAUAACAACUGUUUUGUUUUUUUGUCUCUCUAAAAAUCCAGGUUGCUACACUAAUCUUUGAUUGUCUGGCUAACAUCUCAAAAUGGUUGCCUGCACACCACUUGAAGCUCUGUCUAAAUCUGUAUGGAAACCAAACUAAAAUUAAAUUAAAACUACAAUAUGUUUUGUAUUUGUUAUAGGGGACAACGCCACCUAGGUUCAAAAGGAGCCUAGGACUCCCAUUGAAAAGCUCCAUAGGUUCUUCUUUUGAAAUCAGGAGGGAGAAUAGUUAAAAACCACAAUCUGAAUAAAAGGUUAACUAAAGUUUAAUUAUACUAAAAAAGUAAAUAUUAUUAUUAUGUAUCUUUCCAUUGACCCAAGGUGGAGUAUUGAACCUGAACACACAGCAAGUGUUGGCUUCAGGCUCCGGAGAAUCCUCAGUCGAGGUGGCCUUGCUUCUCGUCUCUUCUUCUACAAUAGGGAUUUGAGUUAGUCGAGUUGAAGUGUGUAGAAUAUUAUUUAUUUACUUUAAAUCUUAAUUAUAGAAUUAAUGUUGUUAAAAAAAAAAAUACUUAACAGUUUUAGAUUGGUCCAAAAAUAUAUUUAUCUAAGAAGAAACAUUUUUUAUAAAUGUUUCGUAAGGCUACAUAUUACAUUUCAUCAGGAAAUAAUUAGAAAAAGAAUCCAUGUUGAACAUGCAGAUAUCUAUUUCUAAUAGUUUGGAAGGAGUGGUAUUUUCCCUUGGUUAUCUUGUGAUCAUGAUACCGAAAGAGAACAUGAGAUAUGUUUGAAUGCAAAACUCCUGCCCUCAGAAAACAUGUGAGUCUCUUCCUGUAAUUGACACACACACACACACACACACACACACACACACACACACACACACACACACACACACACACACACACACACACACACACACACACACACGCACAUUCAAAUGUAAUUUUCACACCUGUUUCCUUGAGCUGAAUGUAAACCCGCCUGGUGUGCUAAGCUGAUGAAAAAUGUGUGUUCCAGUCAGACUAAAAGUUCCCUUACUGUGCGAGGUUGUGCCUUGUUGAGUAAAUCUGCUGCUCAUCUUACAAACUGUCCUAGGGGUAGUGGGAUGCUAAAUGGAGGCAAAUUCAACACUGAUAAGGCUACGUUUCUUUGUGCUUUCUCUUAUCUUUCCUUACUCAGAUUUGUGUCUACUCUUUGUUUCUGUGUCUUCUCGUAUAUUAUAGGCCUCGACCAUAUUCUAACAUCCAUAUCCUCUCAUCUCUUAUCGAUCCCACCCAAUCCACGCAUAUCCAACACCUUGUGACAGGAGGCCUCUGAAACUGCCAGUCAGCUACUCACUAGACUGAGUUCAUCUCUGGCUUUACCCCCCAGCAAUCCCUUGAUUUCCUUGCUCUCUCUGAGACUUGGAUUACUCCAGCUAAUACUUCUGCUCCUGCUGCUCAUAGCCGACUCCUUCACCAAACACCCAGACCCACUGGCAGAGGAAGGGGCACUGGUCUGAUAUCCCCCAAAUUGACUUUUUCUUUCUGCCCAUUGCUACAUUUUACGCCUUCAUCCAUCAGAAUGAAUGCUUAUUGAAUACAUGAUAACAACUGUUUUGUUUUUUUGUCUCUCUAAAAAUCCAGGUUGCUACACUAAUCUUUGAUUGUCUGGCUAACAUCUCAAAAUGGUUGCCUGCACACCACUUGAAGCUCUGUCUAAAUCUGUAUGGAAACCAAACUAAAAUUAAAUUAAAACUACAAUAUGUUUUGUAUUU